UCAUUAAUUAGUUCUAAACUUUUUUUUUAGAACUCUAUUGGGAGAAGUAAUGAAGCUCCCAGAGGAGAAAUAAUGAAAUAUUCUUCCCGCAUGGCAAGAGGAUAGGGGACUACAAGGAUAGAAUAUUGUAUGCCUAGUCAGACUUGGUUUCUGUAUCUGAGGGGUAAGGUAUAGGAGAAUUUUGUUGACUGGUUCCAUGGGAGAAAGGGAUAUUAUCCCCAGUUCUGUUUUAUGGAGACGACCCACAACUACCCAACUGUUUUUGCUGAAUUGUUCAGAUUCCCUGCAAACAGUCCUGGAUAACCUGGUUUCAUGACAUCAAUGGCUGGUUGAUAUGGGGAAACUAUUUCCAUGAUGAAGAGCAUCUGGAAGUCGAGGCAGGACUGGGACCAUCCCCAGAGGAGUGUGGAGCCUGGGAAACCAACCCUGCCACCAGCCUUUUCUCUCUCUUCUUUCCCUUUCCACCCAUUUUUAUUCGGGUAAAAACUGGUUCAAAAGAAAAAAGAGACUGUCUUAGAGGCCUUUUUUUUUUUUUGUAUGUAGCCAGAGGGAUGUGGAAGUGCCUGUGUGUGCUAGGAUUGCAUGUCUGUAAGUUCCUUUGCUGUCUAAGACCAUCUGUCUUCUCUUUGACCCCCUGUUUUCCCCACUCCAGCUCUGCACCUUACCCCAUGGUUGAUCCAACCCCAAGGUUCACCUCUUCUGGGGCAGCAGCUCUUUUUUCUUACGUUACUGGUUACUUCACCAGGAAGGGGUGAAGGGGAAAGUUAAAUGAGGUUUCUAGUCUAGAUGAUCCAGUUAUCACAUUGUGAGUAUGUGAUUGAGUAGGAUUAUUAGAGUAUAAAAUCAAAGUAAAUUCCAAGCCAGUUUUCUAAUAGGUUUUGACAUAGGAAUGGCUCUUUCAAGAACUUUGGCAAUUCUAUAGCAAUGUGAUGAGUACAAUCUGGCCCACUGUCCCUUAACCUGGCUGGUUCCAGCUGCCCCUCAGGGCAGUCAUCAGGGAUGACUUUUUCUCUCUUUGCCCUCUGAUUUGUGUUCCUUCUGGUUGUGUUUCCUCCAUUUAUUAGGGGAUCAGUGAUUAGCACCGCAAAAUUAUUUAUCCCUGCAACAUCAAUUGACUUUUAUAAAGAGUAUUUACUUCAAAGAGAUAGUAAGAACAAAUGUGUAAGCUUUCCCCCCAAUACUUCCAAUGCUUAUUCUCGCCUAUACCACCUCAGUGUUUGGGGGAGUAGGCUCAAAAUUUUGCUCAGUUCCUACAUAGUAUAGGCCCCACCAAAUUCAAGUUCACUGCAGGUUAAGUUCUUCCAACAGGCUGAGACCCUAAAGGUUACUCGCAAAGGUCACUCCUUGCUCCUCAGGGCACUGCUACUAUGCUGGCUAUAAAACACAGGUUGGAUUCUGAUGCUUAGAUUGCUAUGGCUCUCUCUUCUGACCAAAAAUUGCAAUGAAUGAAAACACCAAGGACCG
rnacentral:lncRNA from 1 species